rnacentral:rRNA from 1 species
AUGGACAUGGAUCAACAAAGAUAUUAUUAUUACAACAUGUUGAAGCGGAGAACUCUCUGUGUUAUUGUUCUACUCUUGGCCCUCUGGUAUAGAAGCAGAGAUGGUAGAAAAUUUAGAGGUAAAGGCAGGAAGUAUGGUCCAUUAGUUCAGAGAGACAUCUACAAAACUAAUGUACUAAUUAGGCUCUUUGACACAUCGGAUGCAACAUGCAUCAAGCAAUUAAGGAUGACUCGAGCUGUAUUUUACAAGCUAUGUAACAGGCUUAGGCAGAAGGAGUUGUUAAGUGACACAUUUCAUGUUUCGGUAGAGGAACAAGUUGCAAUGUUCCUAUACAUGGUCGGUCAGCAUCACACAAAUUCAUCUGUUGGAUUUUGGUUCUGGCGAUCUAGUGAAACAGUGAGCAGAUAUUUCAAUAUUGUCCUGCGUGCGAUGGGGGAGUUAGCACGUGAUCUAAUUUAUAUUAGAUUGACGGACACACACACAAAAAUCACUAGCAGCCCGAACAGAUUCUACCCGUACUUUGAGGGAUGCAUAGGGGCACUAGAUGGCACUCAUGUUAAGGCUUGUGUUCCUGCUCACAUGGUGGACAAAUUUAGGGGCCGCAAGUCAUAUCCCUCCCAAAAUGUGCUAGCAGUUGUUGACUUCGACCUUCGGUUCACAUAUGUUCUAGCUGGUUGGGAGGGCUCUGCCCAUGAUUCUCUUGUGCUAAAAGAUGCCCUCUCACGUCCAACAGGUCUGAAAAUACCCGAAGGGAAAUUUUUCUUGGCUGAUGCCGGGUAUGCUGCAAGGCCGGGGAUAUUGCCUCCUUAUCGUGGUGUGCGUUACCACCUAAAUGAAUUUGCUGGACCCCAUGAACCAACUACUGAAAAAGAAUUAUUCAACCACCGUCAUUCAUCACUUAGGACCACAGUUGAACGAGCAUUUGGGGCUCUUAAGAGUCGCUUCAAGAUUCUUACUCAGAGGCCCUUCAUACCUUUAAAAUCUCAGAUUAAGGUGGUAGUUGCUUGUUGUGCUUUGCACAAUUGGAUAUUAGAAAAUGGUCCAGAUGAAUAUGUUGUGGAUGAGGCGACAUGGUAUGCCAACCUCCCAAGGAGUAGUGGAUGGGUUCGUGAUGAAGAGGCUGACAUACGUGAGUGGGCUGCCAAGCGUGAUUUAUUAGCUCAACAGAUGUGGGCAGAUAGAGAGAGUGCAAGUGACAAUUGA